rnacentral:rRNA from 1 species
UACGUAGGUGGCGAGCGUUGUCCGGAAUUACUGGGCGUAAAGGGCGCGUAGGCGGUUUUUUAAGUUAGAUGUGAAAACCCAGGGCUUAACUUUGGGCGUGCAUUUAAAACUGGAGAACUUGAGUGCAGGAGAGGUAAGUGGAAUUCCUAGUGUAGCGGUGAAAUGCGUAGAUAUUAGGAGGAACACCAGUGGCGAAGGCGACUUACUGGACUGUAACUGACGCUGAGGCGCGAAAGCGUGGGGAGCAAACAGGAUUAGAAACCCCAGUAGUCC